UACGUAGGGUGCAAGCGUUGUCCGGAAUUAUUGGGCGUAAAGAGCGUGUAGGCGGCCCGAUUAGUCCGCUGUGAAAGUCCAGGGCUCAACCCUGGAAUGCCGGUGGAUACUGUCGGGCUAGAGUCCGGAAGGGGCGAGUGGAGUUCCUGGUGUAGCGGUGAAAUGCGCAGAUAUCAGGAGGAACACCAAUGGCGAAGGCAGCUCGCUGGGACGUGACUGACGCUGAGACGCGAAAGCGUGGGGAGCAAACAGG
rnacentral:rRNA from 1 species